GUCCCUUUGUCUACAGUGUAGUUUAAAUCUAAUGUCUCUUUGUUGACUUUCUGCCUAGAUGAUAUAUGUCCAAUGCUGAGAGUGGGUGUCAAUCUUUGUGCUUCCGAACCUGCUGCUGAGGUUGCUCCUUUGUUCUGUAAUAAUCUCACUGCUAGCAUCUAUUCCCCUCACACAGAAAUCAGUCACCCUUGUCAGCCUCAUUAGACCCAGUACAAAGGUCAUUUGUUUUGGGAAACAUUUCACAAACCACUGCCCCUCCCUGGGUAACUGGUGCACUCCCACCUCCAUGCCCUGUACAUACCUCGCUCUCUGCACCUGACCCUUUUAUGACCCUUACUUGUUUACUUGACCAUUACUUACAUACUUUGCUCUCUGCACCUGACCCUUUUAUGACCCUUACUUGUUUACUUGACCGUUACUUGAGGACAUCUGACUCUACACACUCCAGUUCAUGCCCCCCAGAGCACAGCCAGGGCUUUUCAUGUCUGUAUCUCCACAGCAAGGCUACAACGUGACCAAGGUGUACUAAAGGAAAAGCUAUACUGAAGAAAACUCCUGAACCUGCCAACUGGGAAGGUCCCAAGAGUCCAGACUGGGUGGUCAUGUGGACCCUCAUCCUUCACCUGCUCAUCCUGCCUAGAUAAGUGUUUGCUUAGCUCAACCUUCAGAGGCAGCAAAGACAGCAAACGUAACUCCAGAGACAGUGAAUUACAACCCAAAGCCCAGGCAUUGUUCUGGCCAAUGUGGUAGGAGGUACAGAGAUUCAAGUUAAGACCUACCUGCUCCCCUUUCCUCUUCCUCCUACAUCCCUGUCAGGUCCUUUCAUCUGAGCCUUGAUUCCAUGUGACUAUGAUGGUUGGUUGGUUGGUGCCCAUAUUUGUUUGCUAGAGCUGCCAGAGCAAAGUAUCACAACUGGGAGGCUAAAACAGCAUACAGUUAUUUAUCACAGUUCUAGACGCUAGAAGCCUCAGCCCAAGGCAUCUGCGAGGUUGGUUCCCUCUGAGACCUCUCCUAGGCUUGCAGAUGUCUGUGUUCUCCCUGUGUUCUCCUCAUCACAUGGUCAUCCCUCUGUGCAUGUUUGUGUUCCAAUUACCUCUUCUCAUAAAGACCCCAGACAUAUUGGAUUAAGACUCACCUAAUGACCUCA
rnacentral:lncRNA from 1 species